GGUUUCCGUAGGUGACCUGCGGAGGWCAUUA
rnacentral:rRNA from 1 species